GUGCCAGCCGCCGCGGUAAUACGUAGGGGGCGAGCGUUGUCCGGAAUUACUGGGCGUAAAGGGCGUGUAGGCGGCCGAGCAAGUCAAGUGUGAAAAGCCUCGGCUUAACCGAGGCAUUGCACAUGAAACUGCUUGGCUUGAGUGCAGGAGAGGGAAGUGGAAUUCCUAGUGUAGCGGUGAAAUGCGUAGAUAUUAGGAGGAACACCAGUGGCGAAGGCGACUUCCUGGACUGUAACUGACGCUGAGGCGCGAAAGCGUGGGUAGCAAACAGGAUUAGAUACCCUGGUAGUCCACGCCGUAAACGAUGGGUACUAGGUGUGGGUAGUUCACACUAUCCGUGCCGCAGCAAACGCAAUAAGUACCCCGCCUGGGGAGUACGGCCGCAAGGUUGAAACUCAAAUAAAUUGACGG
rnacentral:rRNA from 1 species